GGACCCUGGAGCUGCCAGCCCAUCCUAACUUCCCUGGCUUCUUCCUGGUGUGGUCUCAGGUUCCCUCAGUCUCCAACCACUGUGGACUUCAGCUACUUAAUUCCUGAUCAGCCCCUUCUACCUCUGCUCAACAACACAAUACAGCCUUUCUUGUAUGACUUCUACCCAAGAGCCUUCUCUGCUCUCCUCGAAGAUUCCUAAGCCCUGAGAUGAAAUGACUGUUCAACUGUUCGUGAAGUUCCCAGAAUCACUGAUGCACCUGGGCUGUGGCAGAUGGCCCAGGGCACUGACCACGCGAGACGGACUCCAAGAAUUGCCCAGCUGCCAGUGACCUCCCGAGCAGGGAGGAGCAGCGCAUAUGCCUCCAGGAAUGUAGGACUGGGAGACACCAGGCCAGAAAUUCUCAGGGAGGCUAUGGCUUCCAGAAGAUUCUGAGAGCCCCAGCUCCCAUUCCUUGCCAUCCUUCUAUAUUAAAGGGAAAACAACCCAGGA